rnacentral:lncRNA from 1 species
UGAAAUAGUUUUCAUAACCCCUCCCCCACCCUGGUUUUUCAUAACCACUCGGAUUUCCAGCUGGAUAGUCUUUGAGGAUAUAGGUGAAUGCUGUGAGGUGGUCCAGGAAACUCUGUGGAACAUUCUCCAAUGGGCUAGUAGGAUGAGAAGAUCCAGGAGUAGUUUGGGAAACAAGGAGAGGCAUCACCUCCCAUGACGGUAAACCUACCAAAAAGAGUCUCCGGAGGGCAAGAUGCAAAAUGCAACUCUAAAAACCUCUAGGCAUAUGGAAAACCCAAACUGGGAAUCCCUUGUCACUGAAGUAGGAGGAAAAAUGAUUAUCAUCUCAGACUUUUUUCUACCAUUUAAGUUACUGCAUCUGCAUCACAACACCAGCAAUUCAUAUGGCAUCAUUAUAUAUUGAUUGAAAAAAUGAGUGAAGCAUUAGGAAUAUGGGAAUGAUCUUGGCUCACAGGUCAGUAUGUGAGAUACCUAUUUUAUAUUUUCAAUCUCUAAUUCACUUCCGCUCCACCACUGCCCUUAGUUCUAAAGAAUUCUAAGAUCUAAAUAUGUGUUACCUAGACUAUGCUUUUAGAUUUCCCUUUUAAAAACUGGUGAAUGUGUAACUUUAUUACGUUCUUUGUCUGAAGAGCAGAAGAUGGAAUGUUAGCAUCCAUUUCUCCUGAAUUGAAGCAAAACUUGAAACUUUAAUUACUGAU